rnacentral:rRNA from 1 species
AAGACCUUUGCGCUUUUGGAGCGGCCGAUGCCUGAUUAGCUUGUUGGUAAGGUAAAAGCUUACCAAGGCUUCGAUCAGUAGCUGGUCUGAGAGGACGACCAGCCACACUGGGACUGAGACACGGCCCAGACUCCUACGGGAGGCAGCAGUGGGGAAUUUUGGACAAUGGGGGCAACCCUGAUCCAGCCAUGCCGCGUGAGUGAAGAAGGCCUUCGGGUUGUAAAGCUCUUUCAGCCGGAACGAAACGGUUACGGUUAAUACCCGUGACUACUGACGGUACCGGAAGAAGAAGCACCGGCUAACUACGUGCCAGCAGCCGCGGUAAUACGUAGGGUGCGAGCGUUAAUCGGAAUUACUGGGCGUAAAGCGUGCGCAGGUGGUUUUGUAAGUCAGAUGUGAAAGCCCCGGGCUCAACCUGGGAACU